UUCUGGUUGAUCCUGCCAGAGGCUACCGCUAUUGGAGUUCGAUUAAGCCAUGCGAGUCGCGAGUCCUAGGGACUCGGCGUACCGCUCAGUAACACGUGGGUAACCUGCCCUAUGCAGGGGGAUAACCUCGGGAAACUGAGAAUAAUACCCCAUAGUUCACUACGCCUGGAACGGUGAGUGGAUGAAAGCUCCGGCGGCAUAGGAUGGGCCUGCGGCGUAUCAGGUUGUAGGGGGUGUAACGUACCCUCUAGCCCUCUACGCGUACGGGUGUUGGGAGACAUAGCCCGGAGAUGGAUUCUGAGACACGAAUCCAGACCCUACGGGGUGCAGCAGGCGCGAAAACUUGACAAUGCGAGAAAUCGUGAUCAGGGAACUCCAAGUGGCUGGGGUAAGACCCAGUCUUUUCUUGGCUCUACAAAGGUCUUGGAAUAAGGGGUGGGUAAGGACGGUGCCAGCCGCCGCGGUAAUACCGGCGCCUCAAGUGGUAGUCGCUUUUAUUGGGCCUAAAACGUCCGUAGCCGGUCUGAUACAUUCGUGGGUAAAUCAACUAGCUCAACUAGUUGAAUUCUGCGAGGACGGUCAGACUUGGGACCGGGAGAGGUGUGGGGUACGCUCAGGGUAGGGGUAAAAUCCUGUCAUCCUAAGCGGACCACCUGUUGCGAAGGCGCCACACUAGAACGGAUCCGACGGUCAGGGACGAAGCCUAGGGGCACGAACCGGAUUAGAUACCCGGGUAGUCCUAGGUGUAAACGCUGUGGACUUGAUGUUGGGGGCGCUCCGAGCGCUUCCAGUGUCGAAGCGAAGGUGAUAAGUCCACUGCCUGGGAAGUACGGUCGCAAGGCUGAAACUUAAAGGAAUUGGCGGGGGAGCACCGCAACCUGAGGAUUGUGCGGUUUAA
rnacentral:rRNA from 1 species